UGGGGAAUAUUGCACAAUGGGGGAAACCCUGAUGCAGCGACGCCGCGUUAGCGAAGAAGGUUUUCGAAUCGUAAAGCUCUGUCCUAUGAGAAGAUAAUGACGGUAUCAUAGGAGGAAGCCCUGGCUAAAUACGUGCCAGCAGCCGCGGUAAUACGUAUGGGGCGAGCGUUGUCCGGAAUUAUUGGGCGUAAAGGGUACGUAGGCGGUUUUUUAAGUCAGGUGUCAAAGCGUGGAGCUUAACUCCAUUAAGCACUUGAAACUGAAAGACUUGAGUGAAGGAGAAGAAAGUGGAAUUCCUAGUGUAGCGGUGAAAUGCGUAGAUAUUAGGAGGAAUACCGGUGGCGAAGGCGACUUUCUGGACUUUUACUGACGCUCAGGUACGAAAGCGUGGGGAGCAAACAGG
rnacentral:rRNA from 1 species